ACCAGUCUACUCCAUACACAAGGACUGGGGUGCAGCGGGGCCAGCACAUGAACAGUGGACGGCGCCGGGGACAUCCUCUGCCAGCGCAAUUACCGCAAACACGGCGCCCGCUGCAACCGCCGCCGCCGCCACUGCGGCGCCAACAGGCUCAAGCGAUGACGACGCGUUACCGCUCGCAGAACGAGCAUGUGCGACGUUAAACCCCCACGAGCAGGUCGACACACCCGCUACAUGCCCACCUUUCCUUGGCAGCGAGCAUAUUAUGCGGGAAGCAUUUAUCAGACAAGGAGUACCGGAAACGGCGUUAGACGUCAUGAUCUCUUCUAUAACAUCAAGUACCAAAGCUCAAUAUACUUCUAGUUGGAAAUUAUGGUGGAAGUACUGUCACGAAAAAGCUUUUGAUUUUUAUAAUGCUAAUGUAAAUAACAUUCUUGAUUUUUUAUCUAACUGUUAUCGUUUAGGAUCAUCUUAUGGGACGCUAAAUUCUCACCGUUCUGCUAUAGCAUUAAUUAACACCAAUAAGGUUUCUGAAGACGAAAGAUUAAAAAGAUUUUUUAGGGGUAUAUUUAAAUUAAGACCUACAUUUCCAAAAUAUAACGUUACUUGGAAUCCUAACAUCGUGCUAGAUUACC